rnacentral:rRNA from 1 species
UACGAAGGGGGCUAGCGUUGCUCGGAAUCACUGGGCGUAAAGCGCACGUAGGCGGCUUUUUAAGUCAGGGGUGAAAUCCUGGAGCUCAACCCCGGAACUGCCUUUGAUACUGGUAGUCUCGAGUCCGGAAGAGGUGAGUGGAAUUCCGAGUGUAGAGGUGAAAUUCGUAGAUAUUCGGAGGAACACCAGUGGCGAAGGCGGCUCACUGGUCCGGUACUGGACGCUGAGGUGCGAAAGCGUGGGGAGCAAACAGG